GAUGAACGCUAGCGGCAGGCUUAACACAUGCAAGUCGAGGGGUAUGCCGAUUUAUCGGCAGAGACCGGCGCACGGGUGCGUAACGCGUAUGCAAUCUACCUUUCACAGAGGGAUAGCCCAGAGAAAUUUGGAUUAAUACCUCAUAGUAUAGCAAUUUCGCAUGAAACCACUAUUAAAGUCACAACGGUGAAAGAUGAGCAUGCGUCCCAUUAGCUAGUUGGUAAGGUAACGGCUUACCAAGGCAACGAUGGGUAGGGGUCCUGAGAGGGAGAUCCCCCCANACUGGUACUGAGACACGGACCAGACUCCUACGGGAGGCAGCAGUGAGGAAUAUUGGACAAUGGGCGCAAGCCUGAUCCAGCCAUGCCGCGUGCAGGAUGACGGUCCUAUGGAUUGUAAACUGCUUUUANACAGGAGAAACACUACUUCGUGAAGUAGCUUGACGGUACUGUAAGAAUAAGGAUCGGCUAACUCCGUGCCA
rnacentral:rRNA from 1 species